UACAGAGGGUGCAAGCGUUUGUUCGGAAUUACUGGGCGUAAAGCGCACGUAGGCGGCUUUGUAAGUUAGAGGUGAAAGCCCGGGGCUCAACUCCGGAAUUGCCUUUAAGACUGCAUCGCUAGAAUUGUGGAGAGGUAAGUGGAAUUCCGAGUGUAGAGGUGAAAUUCGUAGAUAUUCGGAAGAACACCAGUGGCGAAGGCGACUUACUGGACACAUAUUGACGCUGAGGUGCGAAAGCGUGGGGAGCAAACAGG
rnacentral:rRNA from 1 species